rnacentral:lncRNA from 1 species
CAUCCAUGGGAUUUCCCAGGCAAGAGUACUGGAGUGGGGUGCCAUUGAAAGACUCUAAAUAGCAAGCAAUACCAACAGAAUCCCCUUGACAGCUCUGGUCAGCAGUUCACAAGUUAGUAGGUGAACCUUGCCAUGUGUUCCCUAAGUUUGGGCUCAGCUGGGAAAAUCCUGUGUGCAGGGCUACUCUGCUCUAUGUGGAGGCAUUGCGGCCAAACAGGAUACUAUGCCCAGAGCAGACAUCUGUGCUUAUUCACCUAGAGAAGCAGGGAAAGGCCAGGAAGAGGCGGGAGGAAGGAGGAGGAGGAAGGCAGACAAAAAAACUGAUAAAGGGAAGGAGUAGGUCCCCAGUUCACCCCUACAGGGUAUAAAGUCUCUUCCCUUCUCAAAAUUUAACACCUCCUGGGAUGGUUGAGCCCAGUCCCACCUCUGAAGGGCUUUCAUUAAGACCAUUCUGGAGCUGGUCUGAGUUCUGAUCCAGAUCCAUGCUUCCUCAGACUCUGUCCACACCUCAACAGUGUUUAGCAUAUAAUCCUGUUCUAACCUACCCACAAAUAAGGCAGUUUUAAGGGAAGGGCCUAAAUAUUCAUUGGAAGGACUGAUGCUGAAGCUGAGGCUCCAAUGCUUUGGC